rnacentral:lncRNA from 10 species
AUUUCUAUGCCAUGGAAAAAGUAGUCUUUAAAAGUUAUUACACUGGAAUAUUACAGAUCCAUAUAUUUUAUAUUGGGUAAUCUGUUCAACCUGAAGAACUUUUCAAUAGGCUUUAAAGCUAUAAAGCAAAUGCCUUUAUACAACACUUUCUGGGAGUUAAUGUGGGUUAAUAGACAUGCCCUUCUGGUGAGUCCUGUGGCAAGGGUGCCAAUUCAGUCAGUGAUUUGCAGGCCACAGCACCCUCGAGCUAUUUUCACGAAGGGUGGACCUUCUGAGCCAAUAUUUCUCAUCUGUUAUUGCAGAACUUAAAAAGGGACAGGGCUUCUGAGUCACUGAGAGCCCAAGGGUACAAUUCUAUACUGGGUUCAAGGCUGAAAAUAGCAAAACCACAGAUCUAUUUCUGUAAACACAAUGACUGUAAGGACAACUACAACUUAAUUUGGACAACUUAAACUAAAGUGACUAAAGCAAACCAUUUGGAAAACAGACUAGCUUAGUACUGACACUCUGAACACAGCCUCUUAUAGUGUACAAGACUAUGACUUUCUCAUUGACAGCCUUCCCAUCCUCUUAAAGUCAUGGGGGAAACUGAGUCCUUAUUAGGGCUAGAUUGUGAACCCUGUUGAACAAAAAAGAAGGACAAUUUUACACGGCACUUAAAUUUAGCUAUUCUCUUCUAAACCUCCAUUGAUUCUGCAUCUCCCCUUUCAUUCUUUCAAUCUCUUUUUUUUCUUCAAAAAGACUUGAUGUCACUGUGAAGCAAUGAAGAUGUGAUUCAAUUCAAUAAGUAUGUUGAGUGCCUACCAUAUGCCAAGAACUGCCCUAUGCAUUGGAGAUAUCUUGGUAAAAAUUAAUGGCUCAGGCCCUAUCCUUACAGAAUUUACAAUAUAAUGCAAAAAGAGGUGAGAAAUGUGAAAUUCAGUGGGUGGUUAGUAUUAUUAAUGCAGAGGUAAACAUCUGAUCACAAAAGCCUCACCCUUCCCCAAAUUCUGUAUAUAUAAAUGUAUGGGGUAGGCUUAAGCUGAUAUUCUUCAAUUAACAUUAAUAGAUUUAUUUCUUAGAUAUAGAAAAUAAACCUAUAAAGUAGUGGAUCGUGGGGUUUCUUUAGGAUAAUACUUUUUUCAUUUUUAAAAAUUGCUAGUAUCUGCUAGAGGAUUGAAUCAGGUUUUUUUUCAUUAUAAAUGUCUUUUCAGGUAUGUAUAUGAAAUUACACAGGCAACAUGUAUUUCUUUUGAAAACACAUUGGUUUUCAGGCAUAGUGAUCUUUUACCAAGGGACU